rnacentral:tRNA from 6 species
CUGGGUGUAGCGCAGUUUGGCUAGCGCGUUUGCAUGGGGUGCAAGAGGCCGCAGGUUCAAAUCCUGUCACCCAGA